rnacentral:rRNA from 1 species
AACGAACGCUGGCGGCAUGCCUAACACAUGCAAGUCGAACGAGACCUUCGGGUCUAGUGGCGCAUGGGUGCGUAACGCGUGGGAACCUGCCCUUAGGCUCGGAAUAACUCCCCGUAGGGGGUGCUAAUACCGGAUAAUGUCCUCGGACCAAAGAUUUGUCGCCUUUGGAUGGGCCCGCGUUGGUUUAGCUUGUUGGUAGGGUAAAAGCCUACCACGGCGACGAUCCAUAGCUGGUCUGAGAGGAUGAUCAGCGACACUGGGACUGAGACACGGCCGAGACUCCUACGGGAGGCAGCAGUGGGGAAUAUAGGACAAUGGGCGAAAGCCUGAUCCAGCAAUGCCGCGUGAGUGAUGAAGGCCUUAGGGUUGUAAAGCUCUUUUACCCGGGAUGAUAAUGACAGUACCGGGAGAAUAAGCUCCGGCUAACUCCGUG